rnacentral:rRNA from 1 species
UACGUAGGCAGCAAGCGUUGUUCGGAGUUACUGGGCGUAAAGAGUGCGUAGGCGGUCCUGUAAGUUUGGUGUGAAAUCUCCCGGCUCAACUGGGAGGGUGCGCCGAAGACUGCAGGGCUUGAGUAUGGGAGAGGUAAGCGGAAUUCCUGGUGUAGCGGUGAAAUGCGUAGAUAUCAGGAGGAACGCCUGUGGUGUAGACAGCUUACUGGACCAUAACUGACGCUGAGGCACGAAAGCGUGGGUAGCAAACAGG